AUUGAACGCUGGCGGCAUGCCUUACACAUGCAAGUCGAACGGCAGCACGGGUGCUUGCACCUGGUGGCGAGUGGCGAACGGGUGAGUAAUACAUCGGAACAUGUCCUGUAGUGGGGGAUAGCCCGGCGAAAGCCGGAUUAAUACCGCAUACGAUCCACGGAUGAAAGCGGGGGACCUUCGGGCCUCGCGCUAUAGGGUUGGCCGAUGGCUGAUUAGCUAGUUGGUGGGGUAAAGGCCUACCAAGGCGACGAUCAGUAGCUGGUCUGAGAGGACGACCAACCACACUGGGACUGAGACACGGCCCAGACUCCUACGGGAGGCAGCAGUGGGGAAUUUUGGACAAUGGGCGAAAGCCUGAUCCAGCAAUGCCGCGUGUGUGAAGAAGGCCUUCGGGUUGUAAAGCACUUUUGUCCGGAAAGAAAUCCUUGACUCUAAUACAGUCGGGGGAUGACGGUACCGGAAGAAUAAGCACCGGCUAACUACGUG
rnacentral:rRNA from 1 species